rnacentral:rRNA from 1 species
AUUGAACGCUGGCGGCAGGCUUAACACAUGCAAGUCGAGCGGGGUGAUGGUGCUUGCACUAUCACUUAGCGGCGGACGGGUGAGUAAUGCUUAGGAAUCUGCCUAUUAGUGGGGGACAACAUCUCGAAAGGGAUGCCAAUACCGCAUACGUCCUACGGGAGAAAGCAGGGGAUCACUUGUGACCUUGCGCUAAUAGAUGAGCCUAAGUCGGAUUAGCCAGUUGGUGGGGUAAAGGCCUACCAAGGCGACGAUCUGUAGCGGGUCUGAGAGGAUGAUCCGCCACACUGGGACUGAGACACGGCCCAGACUCCUACGGGAGGCAGCAGUGGGGAAUAUUGGACAAUGGGGGGAACCCUGAUCCAGCCAUGCCGCGUGUGUGAAGAAGGCCUUAUGGUUGUAAAGCACUUUAAGCGAGGAGGAGGCUCUUUUGGUUAAUACCCAAGAUGAGUGGACGUUACUCGCAGAAUAAGCACCGGCUAACUCUGUGCCAGCCGCCGCGGUAA